AUACUUAUCUGGCAGAGGAGAUACCAUGAUCACCAAGGUGGUUUCCCUAGGGUAAGGCUUAAACAUUGUACUUCGUGUGCGCUGACCCCUGUGAUUUCGCCAAAUGUGGGAAAAUUGACUGCAUAAUUUAUGGUAGUGGGGGACUGCUUCACCCUCU